rnacentral:rRNA from 1 species
UCCUACGUGAGGCAGCAGUGGGGAAUAUUGCACAAUGGGCGCAAGCCUGAUGCAGAGACACCGCGUGAGGGAUGACGGCCUUCGGGUUGUAAACCUCUUUCAGUAGGGAAGAAGCGAAAGUGACGGUACCUGCAGAAGAAGCGCCGGCUAACUACGUGCCAGCAGCCGCGGUAAUACGUAGGGCGCAAGCGUUAUCUGGAAUUAUUGGGCGUAAAGAGCUCGUAGGCGGUUUGUCGCGUCUGCCGUGAAAGUCCGGGGCUCAACUCCGGAUCUGCGGUGGGUACGGGCAGACUAGAGUGAUGUAGGGGAGACUGGAAUUCCUGGUGUAGCGGUGAAAUGCGCAGAUAUCAGGAGGAACACCGAUGGCGAAGGCAGGUCUCUGGGCAUUAACUGACGCUGAGGAGCGAAAGCAUGGGGAGCGAACAGGAUUAGAUACCCUGGUAGUCCAUGCCGUAAACGUUGGGCACUAGGUGUGGGGGACAUUCCACGUCUUCCGGGCCGUAGCUAACGCAUAAGU